GGAACUAAGGUCCCACAUGUCACAUGGCAUGGCCAAAAAAAAAAAAAAAAAGAUUUGUCACACUAGGAGCUAUAAAAAUUGAAGUAUGUUUUAAAAUUCAGUUGAACAAAUGAACUGUUUCAUCAUGUAUUCAAAUGCAGUGCAGUACAUUUGGACUAUUGACAAGAUAAUUGGAGGGUUUGUUUUAAAAAUAUAUUACUUCCUCGGAGAAACGGCUGAUUCUAGGGCUGGGACAGGGAAAAAUGUGAGCUUGGAGUGUCUUGUGGUGCCAGAGUUAGGAAGUGCCCCAAACUCAAAAGGGUAGGAGUGUGUCAAAGCGACUCGGGAGCCAAAAGCUCCCAGUGGCCAAAGCGGCAACAAUUAGAGCAAUAGAAUGGAUAAUGGAGUAUUAGAUAGUAACCCAAAGUAUAAAAUCCAUAUCCCUGAGUUGGUACUGGUAGAAAUAAAUUGUUGAAUAAAUAACUAGCUGGGUGGGGCCGGGGUAGAGACAAAUCUUACAAAUAACACAUGUAGGUUCUCCCUUCUCCAGGCUAAUUAUCCUCUCCUCUUCCUUUGAAUGUGCCCGGGGCUUAGUGACUUACUUCUAAAUAACAGAGUAGGGAAAGAGAACAAUAGGAAGUGUAUGGUGGAGACACCUGGCAGACACCACCUUGACCGAGUGAUCAAGGUUACCACCACCCCAUGAUAAGUCAAGUGGCUAUCACGUGCCCCCAACCCUAUGUGAUGAGGAAGGCAUCUCAUCCCUGUGGUAUUCUUCCCCAAACCCGUAACCCCACAGAAAAGCCUCAGACAAACUCCCAUGGAAGGACAUUCUACAUAAUACUUGAUCAGGACUCCUCAAAACUGAAAGGGUCACGAAAAGCACAGAAAGACAGAAGCAGACCAGAGGACACGAAGAGACACGCCAGGUGGAUGCAGUAUAGUUGCUGGUUGGAUCCUGGAACAGAGAGAGCAUUAAUGGAAAAGCUGGUAAAAUCCAAAUGAGCAAUAUCUCUGUUUCUUGCCAAUCACAAGGGAGAAAAGCAAGGAGUCCCAAGAGUUUCUGGAAGCCACCUUGUGACACUUCAGAGGAGGCAGAGCCAAGAGACUAGAAGGACAUUGGUCCUCAGUAACAGCUGCUGGAUCAAGCCUUGCCUGAAGCACUGCACUGCAUGUGGGAUCUUAGUACCUGGACCAGGGAUCCAACCUGUGCCCCCGGCAGUGGAAGUUCAGAGUCCUAACCACUGGACUGCCAGAGAAGUCCCAAUACAAAGUAUUUCUUAACUGAUUAAAAUACAGAAAUGGAAACAUAACCCAGUACUGCAUUUAAAGACAUGAAUCCCCUGGGAAAACUCCUCAAGCCCUUGUUGGUUCAUCUGAGGGUGUUAAGAGUUUGAAUCCCAACUUCCCCACCUCCUGGCUCUGCCACCUUGGGUAACUUGCUUGACAUCUCUGUGCCGCAUUUUUCUUCAUCUAUAAAAUGGGGAAAAGCAAUAAGAGAAGGUUCUGUAGGGCCUGAAGUUUCUGCAGUUUGUUGGGGGGGGGAUCUUAAAAAUGACAAAUGUAAAGUGAAGCACUAUCCCUGUAGGAUCUGGGGAGAGCCUCUCACUUGCAAGAUUAAACCUCAUUAGCUUUACCACAGACGAAGCUCUGAAAAUAGCGUCUUUUUCAAGGGCUGUUGGGAAUACGGAGUGAGGCCAUGUGGCUGAACCAUCUGGCUCUGGUGUGUGGUGGGCCUGACUCCCAGACUACUAACCAGGUGUGUAAGAAACAUCACUUUCUUUAUGUAUAGAAACCUACCUGAAGUUCUGACGCCAAACCCCCAAUUCCACAGAGCUGGCAAACACCUUCACUUCAGUCAUUCUUGAAGUUUCUAAUCCACUUUGCUCUGAAGGCAUGGUGGGGGGCAGAGGUCUGCUUUUCUGUGAUCACCAUUUGUCUUUGAUCAUCUGUACCCACACAGACACCUAUACAGACACAUAGACACACGCACGUCAUAAUUGAAGCAUCUGGUAUUCCUUUCUGAAUUCCCCUUCAACUUGCAGCUCUGUACUGUUUCUGAUCCAUGCGUGGCACUUGGGGAUCUUUGAGGGGUGCCCCAGGAGUGCUGUUUAGCAACUUGUAAGAAGACUGCUGUUGGGGGCCCAACGGCUCUAUUCCAGAUCAUAUCUGAGGGAGGCAAUGAGCCGCUGUGGCUAAAAGCAUCGGAUUGGGUGCCAGACAGAACUGGAUUCUAAUCCUGCAAAGCCUUGUUUUCCUCAUCUGCAGAAUGGGGAGGAUGAUAAUAAUGCCUCCCUCAUAGAACUGGUGUGACUAACAUCGAGGUAUUUGCAAGGGGCUUGGUGUAGUGUCUGACAGGUAGUACACAAGCUCUAGUACUAGAGUUCAUCUCUUCACCUUUCAUUAUUAGACAGGGAAACUGAGUCCUAGAGACACUGGCUGGCUGGGUGAGGUUACCACACAACAUUAUGUAAAUACCUGGGGUAAAGGUGCAGAAAGCAUGCUUAUUCAAUUUGCAGAUGACCUAAAACUAGGUAUAGCGGCUGGUAUUUUAAAUGCAAACCAGGGUUCGAAAGCACCUAAAGCAGACGAAAUGAUAGACUAAACUCCCUGAAGUAAAAUGGAAUGGGGAUGGAUGUAAAAUGAAAAGAUUUUUCAUGAAAAAGGUUUUGGCUGAAAGUUCCAUAUAAUCCCAUGUUAAGAUGGCUGCCCCCAAACGAUCUCAGGCUGCAUCUUUGGCGGUAUAGAUUGAGGAUGAGGGAGGUGAUAGCUGGAAGGUUGGGUUCAAUUCUGGUUGCCAUACCUUUGAGCGGACAGGGAGAGACCAGAGGCCAAUUUGUGGAGGGCAAAGGAUAGUGAGGAAUCGGGGAUCCUGACUUCAGAGAAGAGAGACUCAGGGGGCAGAGAUGGGAGCACCAGUAACCCUGCCUGCUCCAAGGGCAGAACGCGGAGAUGACAAGGCACUGAGAAGCAACUCUGACAGAACUGUCUCACAAUGAAAAGGAUUGUGUUCAUAGGUAGUGAGCAUCCUAUCACUGGUGGUAUGCAAGAAGAAUUAGGAAAGGAUUCCUGCUUCGAGCUCUCAGUUUCAGCAAAAAUACUAGACCUUACUGAUAAAACAUCCUUGUUGGCUAUAUGUACACAUAUUGUAGUCAACAAAUAUAUAGUCCAUAUUUCCUCUAUUUUAAGAUGUACUUUUAAGAAAUGAAUAUUACUGGGAUUGUCUUACAAUCAGUGUGUACACUUAGUGAAUAAUGCAUCCUUCUUUCUGAAAAGUUGUUAUUCAAGCAUUUUUGAAUCAGCAAAAUGAAGUGUACAAUUUGGGAUGUUGUUCUGACAAUCUGUAUUUCAUCUUACAUUUGCCCUAUUAGAAUGUAUGUCUUGAACUAAAAGAAAUCUAUCUAAAUAAAUGAUGUAUAUUAAAAAAAAAUCCAGCCUUCUCUUCUUA